AUCAAACCCAUAUUCCCUGCAUUGGGAGAUGAAUUCUUAACCAAUGUACAAGCACGGAAGUCUGCCUUCCUGUGUUGCCCAUUGUGGCCCUGUCUUUAAUCUUUGCUUGCUUUACCCUGACCUACCACAGGGAAAGUUAUAAAUUGAAUCUAAUGCUUAGGCUCCAUGUAUUUGCAGAGCAGCAGGACACCAUUUAUUAGACCCGAACUAUGGAUGAAUGCACUGUGUGUCUGAGCGACAGCCUAGUAGUUGUUGUUCAGUCGCUCAGUUGUGUCCAACUCUUUGUGACCUCACGGACUGCAGCACGCCAGGCUUCCCUGUCCUUGAACAUCUUGCAGAGCUUGCUCAAACUCAUGUCCAUUGAGUCGGUGAUGCCAUCCAACCAUCUCAUCCUCUGUCGUCCCCACGAUACAGCCUGGUAUCUUGUGCCUACUUGGUUUUGUAGGUUUGGGAACCAUCUGAAAUACUGUCUCUGUACCUGUCGUGAUCAGCACAGAGUAUAUUACACGCAAAUCUGGAUGCAUCGCCUUUCACCCCAGUACUCAGAGUCUAGGGACACCCCUUAUUGAGGUGCACUCUGAUUGAGGCUGAGCUGUCCCAGAGGUGGGCAGCACCGCCCCUUGCCAGGACCUGAAACUCCGUAAACUACAUUACCCGGAAGGCAGUGCGCCGCCUCCUGCAGCGCAGAACCAAUGAAGGAUCAGAAGAGAGGCACUUUGGUUCUAGAGGACCGCGUCUGGGCGGGCCUUCUGGCGUCAACCGUAAGCGACUUUCUGUGAACUCAGUUGACAUUUGGUGAAAUCAGUUCCCUGGUGGGGAUCUUGGGAACCCUGGGCCGCCUUGAGGUAUAGCGAGCUGGGUGGGCGCUGGUACAGCUGUUCUGAGGCGGAUCUAAGGCUCGGCGUGGGCUCCAUUCGGCCAGAAUCUGUCUCCGGGCUGGAACGGGAGCCGCCGUACCCUGGCCCCUCCUUCGCCUACAGACUCGGCUGGGACCGCUGCGUUGAUGAGUACGAUUGAGCAAAAAUUUGAAGCGAUGGAUGGAUCAGCGUUACAGCUUGGUGUUACAACUCAGUUUUAUUUGACAAGCAAAGAAAAAUACAUCCUCAAGGCGUGAGAGCAGGCCAACCCAAAAGACACGAAGAGAAUAGAAGCCAGCUGUUCAAUUUUGGCUCCUCUUUUUAAAUGUUUUUUCUCCUCCCCCUCAGCCUGCUCUAUGUAAAUUGGGCUAGCCAGGAGGGCUGUUUGCUUUGCCUGAGGUUCUCACUCCUGUCCUCAGACCUUCCCUUGUUCUAUUUUCACAGGCUUUAAUUGGGCUAGCCAGGAGGGCUGUUUGCUUCGCCUGAGGUUCUCACUCCUGUCCUCAGACCUUCCUUUGUUCUAUUUUCAUAGGCUUUUCCCUUCUUCGUGUUUUAGCCACCAGCAUUCUGGACUCCUUUUUCCUAUUCUAACUACCUAACAUAACCAAAGUAAACUUUCAAGGGGAAGUGUAAGAACUCCUGGUCACCUGUUGUGGCCAACUACAAGCGAGAAGAAGAGAAAAAUGUAUUAUUGACAAGGGAGAAACAAGGAAAUCAAAUGGAGGUGUCAGAGCUGUACAUAGAGACUUAAUUUUGAUAUUUAUAGCCCAGGGUAUAAUAAUGUUAUAUGACCUGCCACAACCAUUUCCUCACCAACAUGAUUGCUUUCAUUUUGUCUCAUUGAACUGCAGUUACACUACCCUCAUACGUGGUACUCAAACACACUGCACAUGACUCAGAUAGACUUUUCACUUGUAUUUUCCACUUCUGGGAAGCCUUUUCUCAAGAAAUCCAUAUUACUUUAUGGCAGAACUCUAUAAUAUUUUCUGUCAUCUUUUACAUGCUUAAUUUUAUCCUUAAUAUUUCUCUUUGCCUUAAAUAUAAAAUGUUUCACUCAUUGAUAUUCUUUUUUGACUAUGUUGCUGAUGGAAAUUAAAGUUGCAUGGCCCUGCUCUUCUCAUAGGUUUCACAUUCAGCAGAACCUUUUAUGGACUCUUCACUGAGGAGUGUCAGAUGUUCUGGAAGUGUUUGCUGCUACUCUUCCUGGACCUGGUGUCUGGAGACCCUAGAGAAACCCUAAGUACAGAUUUCCAAGUCCAGGCCAGAGGUUAUAUGAAGGGAUUCCCAUUUUUGGCAGCCAGUGGACUGAGAUGUGAAAAGUUGUCUUAGGUACAGGGGUAGUGCAUACAAAUGCUUGAGCUUAUGAUAGAGGUGGGAAUGCUUUAGGACUUGUAGGUCUUUGUUAAUGUCUGGUAAGAACAGAGAGCAAGAGGGCCAGAGUCAGGCCUAAACUGGUAGCCUGAGAAGUUGGGUUUCUCUUCUGAGAAUGAUGGCAGAUGUGGAAUUUUUGGUAUAGAGGGGAAAAGUGAUGUGACUUAGGUUUAAAGAGACUGCCUCUGGCUGCAGAGUACACAAUAGACUGGGGAAGAGGAAGACAGGCAGAUAGCAAGGAGGCUAUUGUAGUCAUCCAGAUUAGCAGUAGUUUUGCCUAGACCAGAGUGAUAGAUAUGGAGGUAGGAGAAAUAUUUGGCUCCUGAAUUUGUUUUUAAAGUUUUAACAGUGGACUAGAUUUUAUGAUGUGGAGUGAGUCACAGAUGACUCCAAAGGUAUUUUCCCUUUACAUCUGAAAGGGUGGCAGUGCUAUCAGCUGAGAUGGGGGAGUCAGCAAGCAGAGUCCCUUUCUGUGAGACUGUUAGGAAUUGGGUCUUGUGUUGAAUCUCAGAUGUUUCAGUGACUCCCAAGUAUAGGAGAACAGUGGAUGGGUGAACUUGCAGACCCAGAGUGCUGGGGAGUCUUCAUGAUGCCAUUAGGGGACAAGGGAAGGUGGGGGGCUGUUACAAAGGUCAUCAGCAGGAAGAUAGGGGGAGGGAAAGUCCAGCAUGUGGUCCAGGUAUUUAUGGGAUAGUGGUUAUGAAAUUGAUGCAGAAGAAAAGCAAAAAAGGAGAUGAAAUUAUACCAAAGUCAGGCUGGUGCUUAUUAAUCCUCCUGUAUACUCACUAGGUUUUUGUGGUGGAAUUUGGGGAGUUUAUGAUAGAAUGUCAGAUGAGUUUACUCAAGAUCUGUCAACUGGGUGUGGAUUUUGAAUGAUUGUUAUGUGAACAAAGAUUGUAACUGUUGAAGAGACAUAAUUUGCAGUAUGGAAGUGGAACCUGACCAGGGGUAUUUAGAUCUGCAUGUUGUGACUGAGGAUAAAGUCAAGAACGAGGUUUAGUGGGGAAUCCUUCAGAACAGGGCUAGGGAGCUGCCAGUGGAAAGUGGCUGUACAGUGGGGUUGUGUUGUAUUUGUCAGGCACUUUCUGAAUGUUCAGAAGGGGAUGAGAGGAAGCAGGAGAUAUGCCAAUUUUGUGAACCAGGUGGCGGUGAUGAGGGUCAGAUAUAUAGUGCACUGAGUGAUCUGCUUGUGGGGAAGGUGUGUGAACUAACUUCCUGAGGUACUAGGAGUCUGAGAGAAAGAUGGGCCUAAGUUCCUGUAUGUCUGGGAGACAUGAUCCUGGGAAAUGUGACUGUUGUUUUACAAGAAAGGGAAGGGGCCCUGCAUGCCAGGCCCACCACACAGAUAGCCUCUGUCUAUCAACCUGCCUGUUGUCACUGAGAAUUGUACCUAGUGUGCAAGGAAGAAUGAAGUGUUUUGGGUACCACUUCCCUCUAUGUUAAGAAAUGGGAGGAUGAUGUUCCCAGAGUUAGAGUGGGCUGGGGUUGGUUGAUUAUGGGGUCCUGGGGAGAGAGGCUGCUUAUGCACACAUCUCUUCCCAUCAUCAGAGGGCCCUGUGACCUUUGGGGAUGUGGCUGUGUACUUUUUCCAGGAGGAAUGGAGGCUCCUUGAUGAGGCCCAGAGAUGCCUGUACCAUGAUGUCAUGCUGGAGACCUUUGUACUGGUUGCAUCCUUGAGUAAGGCCCUCACCCCUGUCCCAGCAUCCUGGGCAGGUGUCUGACUUUCCCCUUUUUUCCAAGGUCAAGUCUGUUCUGUUCACAGCUUGACAGUGGUUGCAUGUCUGAUACUGCUUCCCUGUCCUCUGUUUUGUGGGUGCUAAGGCUGAGUGAAUGUGUGUACCACCUCCUUUCACAGGCAGCCCCAAUACCAGCAGCUCUGAAGUUUUCUCAAUGAAGAUUUUCUAAGUCAAAAGACUUGGAAUGAAUUCACUGGGUUCUCAGCCACUCACUGCUAGUUUGACUCAGUUGACCCCUGCAUCUCUGUGCUCCAGGUUCUGCCUCAAUCCAGUUGACAUUUCCUGGAGCCUGACUGACCAGGAAUUAUUGGGAACCAAUGUGGUCACUAUUUGUGGUGUCCACUUGGCUGUUGCUGUCAGACUGUCUUGUGGAGAGGUCCAUUAUUGCACAGCAGUGCUUUUCUAACCUGUCUGAGCUUCCUUGUCCUCAAAAUAGUCCCAUGGUUUUAUUCCUUCUGUGUCAGACACAUAUGUGUGAUGGGGCUGCCCAUUCUACCAAAAUCUAUGUGAAAUUCCUCUUCAUGUCUCUAGUUUCAGGUUAUUGGCAUGGAAUAAAGGUCAAGCAGAGAACUUCAGAGCAGAAUGUUUCUGUAGAAGUGCCACAGAGAAAUACCUCAAAGAUAGACUUCUCCACCCAGAAGACCUCUCCCUGGGAGAUGUGUAGCCUGAAUGUAGAAGGUGGUGUGUGUGUAGCUGAGGACCUGGGAAUAAACUCUGGCCAGAUCCUCUGUGGGGCAGGUGUGAAAUUUCAGCAGAACAAUGGAGACAAACUCUUUAGAAGAGGCGUGGGUAAGGCCUUUAUGAAGAGAUGCACAGUCCAUGCACUGGGGAAGGCUUUUAUGUGCUGUGAGGCUAGGAAGGAUUUCCCUGGUAUCUCUCACUAUUUCCAGGACUAGAUUAAACUGCAAAAGGACACUGAGUUUUUGGAGCUUUCUCAAUGGACAAAGGCAGCAUAAGUGCCACAAAUGUGGGAAGACCUCCCGGAAGUCCAAGCUUGCUCAGCACCAGAGAGUCCACACUGGAGAGAGGCCUUAUGAAUAUGCUGAAUGUGGGAAAGCCUUCAGCUAUAAAUAUAUACUUGUUUAGCACUGGAAUGUCCACACUAGAGAAAGGCCUUAUGGGUGCAGUGAAUGUGGGAAAGCUUUUAGUGACAAACAUGUACUUGUGUGGCACCAGCGAAUUUACACUGGAGAAAGACCUUACAAGUGCAGUGAAUGUGGGAAAUCCUUCUGUCACAAAUACAGACUUACUCAGCAUCAGAGAGUCCAAACUGGUGAGAGGCCUUACGAGUGCUUGCAAAUGUGGGAAAACCUUUACCUGUAAACCCAUACUUUUUAAGCACCAGAAAAUCCACACUGGAGAAAGGCCUUACAAGUGCAGUGAAUGUGGGAAAGUCUUUAGAUGUAAUUCCAGCCUUGUUAAACAUACAAGAAUUCAUACAAGAGAAAAGCCUUAUGAAGGUAGAGAGUGUAAAAAGCUAUUUAGCCAAAGCUCCCAACUUGUUGUACACCAGAGAACUCACACUGGAGCCAAGCCAUAUGAGUGUAGUGAAUGUGGGAAAAGCUUCACCACUAAAAGCAAACCUGUUCAGCACCAGAGAGUCCACACUGGAGAGAGGCCUUAUGAAUGCAGUGAAUGUGGAAAAGUCUUUAGGUUCAUAUCCAGCCUCAGUAAACAGAAGAGUUCACACUGGAGAAAGGCUUACAAGUGUAGUGAAUGUGGAAAGUUCUUUAAGCAUAGCUCCCACCUUAAAGUCCACUACAAAAUUCAUACUUGAGCAAAGACAGUGCAGUGAAUGUAGGAAAUGUUUUAGUCAAAGCUCUACUCUACUCUAUGCAUCUGAGUUCACAACAGAGAAAAACCACACAAGUGCAGUAAAUGUGGAGAAGUCUUUAGCCAAAGCACUCAACUUAAUUAACACCAAAAGGUUCACACCACAGAAGUGCAGCACCAGCACAGCAAGUGGAAUAUUUUCUGUCAAAUAUGUGCUCUAACUGAGCACCAGAACCUAACAGCCCAUAGAGACCCUAUGUGUGUAGUGAAUGUAGCAAAGCUUUGAGCUGAAGGUCUAACCUCUUUUGUCACCAGUAAGCUCAUAUUAGAGAAAGUCCUUCAAAUGAGAUGAGAGACGCAAAUGACCUAUUGCCUUAGUUAAUACAUCUUACUGAACUGGCUCUGUGAAGGACUUCUCAACUGUAAGUUGAAUGCCAUCUGUGUGCACAGCCCUAAUGUGGAAAUAAUCUGUGGGCACCCAGUUCCUAGGAAACUUUGAGGAGCUAGGCUGUACUUUGUGACCUCCCAGGCCCCUUGAUGGACCUCAUGUCAUUGUGCGUUUCUUACCUCUACCAAGUGGCAGAUCCUCCUACUGGGCAUCUACCAGGUGGCAGAUCCACAUACAGUGAGAUCACUGUAGGUAGACCUUUGUGCUUUCCUGUCCCCUAGAGGGAAGCAUAAGUGGCCUGAGGACUUGGGUGGUGUCAUGCUCUUAGGUCCUGUCAACUGCGUAGGACACAACCUAAGCAGCUUUGCCAGUCUGGGUUCUGCUGGAAGCUCAUAGAGGUUUACAUUAUUUGGUGGUAUUGGAUCAUUUUAUGCUCAGGAUGGAUUUUCUAGCUCCAAGUCACCCUUUGGGGAACUGCCUCAUUUUGCACUACUUUGUGUAAAAAUAAAGACUACUGUUUAACACAA